AGGCUUAACACAUGCAAGUCGAGGGGCAGCAUGGUCUUAGCUUGCUAAGGCCGAUGGCGACCGGCGCACGGGUGAGUAACACGUAUCCAACCUGCCGUCUACUCUUGGACAGCCUUCUGAAAGGAAGAUUAAUACAAGAUGGCAUCAUGAGUCCGCAUGUUCACAUGAUUAAAGGUAUUCCGGUAGACGAUGGGGAUGCGUUCCAUUAGAUAGUAGGCGGGGUAACGGCCCACCUAGUCUUCGAUGGAUAGGGGUUCUGAGAGGAAGGUCCCCCACAUUGGAACUGAGACACGGUCCAAACUCCUACGGGAGGCAGCAGUGAGGAAUAUUGGUCAAUGGGCGAGAGCUUGAACCAGCCAAGUAGCGUGAAGGAUGACUGCCCUAUGGGUUGUAAACUUCUUUUAUAAAGGAAUAAAGUCGGGUAUGGAUACCCGUUUGCAUGUACUUUAUGAAUAAGGAUCGGCUAACUCCGUGCCAGCAGCCGCGGUAAUACGGAGGAUCCGAGCGUUAUCCGGAUUUAUUGGGUUUAAAGGGAGCGUAGAUGGAUGUUUAAGUCAGUUGUGAAAGUUUGCGGCUCAACCGUAAAAUUGCAGUUGAUACUGGAUAUCUUGAGUGCAGUUGAGGCAGGCGGAAUUCGUGGUGUAGCGGUGAAAUGCUUAGAUAUCACGAAGAACUCCGAUUGCGAAGGCAGCCUGCUAAGCUGCAACUGACAUUGAGGCUCGAAAGUGUGGGUAUCAAACAGGAUUAGAUACCCUGGUAGUCCACACGGUAAACGAUGAAUACUCGCUGUUUGCGAUAUACUGCAAGCGGCCAAGCGAAAGCGUUAAGUAUUCCACCUGGGGAGUACGCCGGCAACGGUGAAACUCAAAGGAAUUGACGGGGGCCCGCACAAGCGGAGGAACAUGUGGUUUAAUUCGAUGAUACGCGAGGAACCUUACCCGGGCUUAAAUUGCAGAUGAAUUACGGUGAAAGCCGUAAGCCGCAAGGCAUCUGUGAAGGUGCUGCAUGGUUGUCGUCAGCUCGUGCCGUGAGGUGUCGGCUUAAGUGCCAUAACGAGCGCAACCCUUGUUGUCAGUUACUAACAGGUUCCGCUGAGGACUCUGACAAGACUGCCAUCGUAAGAUGUGAGGAAGGUGGGGAUGACGUCAAAUCAGCACGGCCCUUACGUCCGGGGCUACACACGUGUUACAAUGGGGGGUACAGAGGGCCGCUACCACGCGAGUGGAUGCCAAUCCCCAAAACCUCUCUCAGUUCGGACUGGAGUCUGCAACCCGACUCCACGAAGCUGGAUUCGCUAGUAAUCGCGCAUCAGCCACGGCGCGGUGAAUACGUUCCCGGGCCUUGUACACACCGCCCGUCAAGCCAUGGGAGCCGGGGGUACCUGAAGUGCGUAACCGCGAGGAGCGCCCUAGGGUAAAACUGGUGACUGGGGCUAAAU
rnacentral:rRNA from 1 species